rnacentral:Y_RNA from 1 species
GGCUGGUCCCAAUGCAGUGGUGUUUACAACUAAUUGACCACAAGCAGUUGCAGAUUUCUUUGUUCCUUCUCCGCUCCUAAUCCUUCAACUGACUAGCCUUAA